ACUUAGUGGUAUACUUUAAAAACAGUUAAUAAUCUCGGAAGCUAAGCAGGGUUGGCCCUGGUUAGUACUUGGAUGGGAGACCACCUAGGAAUACCAGGGCUGUAAGCA
rnacentral:rRNA from 1 species